GACGAACGCUGGCGGCGCGCUUAACACAUGCAAGUCGAACGGUAAGGCCCUUCGGGGUACACGAGUGGCGAACGGGUGAGUAACACGUGGGUGAUCUGCCCUGCACUUCGGGAUAAGCCUGGGAAACUGGGUCUAAUACCGGAUAGGACCACUGCCUGCAUGGGUGGUGGUGGAAAGCUUUUGCGGUGUGGGAUGGGCCCGCGGCCUAUCAGCUUGUUGGGGGGGUGAUGGCCUACCAAGGCGACGACGGGUAGCCGGCCUGAGAGGGUGACCGGCCACACUGGGACUGAGAUACGGCCCAGACUCCUACGGGAGGCAGCAGUGGGGAAUAUUGCACAAUGGGCGCAAGCCUGAUGCAGCGACGCCGCGUGAGGGAUGACGGCCUUCGGGUUGUAAACCUCUUUCAGCACCGACGAAGCGCAAGUGACGGUAGGUGCAGAAGAAGGACCGGCCAACUACGUGCCAGCCGCCGCAUAA
rnacentral:rRNA from 1 species